rnacentral:rRNA from 1 species
GGAUGUGGUUCCACCCUGAAUAAGUCAGAUGUCUGAUCUCAGAAGCUAAGCAGAGUGGGGCCUGGUUAGUACUUGGAUGGGAGACCACCUAAGAAGACCAGGUGCUAUAGGCA